rnacentral:rRNA from 1 species
GACGAACGCUGGCGGCGUGCUUAACACAUGCAAGUCGAACGGAAAGGCCCUGCUUUUGUGGGGUGCUCGAGUGGCGAACGGGUGAGUAACACGUGAGUAACCUGCCCUUGACUUUGGGAUAACUUCAGGAAACUGGGGCUAAUACCGGCUAGGAGCUCCUGCUGCAUGGUGGGGGUUGGAAAGUUUCGGCGGUUGGGGAUGGACUCGCGGCUUAUCAGCUUGUUGGUGGGGUAGUGGCUUACCAAGGCUUUGACGGGUAGCCGGCCUGAGAGGGUGACCGGCCACAUUGGGACUGAGAUACGGCCCAGACUCCAACGGGAGGCAGCGGUGGGGAAUAUUGCACAAUGGGCGGAAGCCUGAUGCAGCAACGCCGCGUGCGGGAUGACGGCCAUCGGGUUGUAAACCGCUGUCGCCUGUGACGAAGCGUGAGUGACGGUAAUGGGUGAAGAAGCACCGGCUAACUACGUG